ensembl:snoRNA SNORA63 Small nucleolar RNA SNORA63
ACACAAGACUAUAACAUGGAUGUCAAGUGCUGUGCUGUCGUUCCCCAUGCUCAAAAUAAAGCUGUUUCUUAAUUAUACCUGUCUGCUAUGCUUGUGUAGCAACCAAGGACUCCUGGUCUCAUACAC